UGUUCCGGAAAAUCUACAUCUUGCAUUGCUAAAUGUUGUAGUAAAUCAAAAGGUCACAUGUGGCAUAAUUUGACAUAGGCAAUCAUUUCUAGAGAACUUCCUUCUCAAUGUUAUACUGUUUCUUGUGUAUCUUAAGCUAAUGCCAGGCAUAGUUGAAGUAUGCGCCAAAAGUAUAUUUACUUUGUCUCUUCUGUUAUGCUUGAACUCAGGCGCACAGAAGGAGCUCUUCUCCACGAUGCCAGUGGCCAGCGCACAGGGUCUCUGUUCGACCGUAUCCCCGGCAAGCAAGGAAAACUUGGAAGUAGAUCAUGAUGAGUGUCAUCUGAGACUCGGGCUCAGUGAGAACAUGAUGAGUGUCAUCGUUCUCUCUGACACUGAUGUUCAAGACGACAGGAGCUGUCCACCACAUAUGCAGAUUACUGGUGCUCACUCCUCCAACAACAAUAUCUACCGUGGUCUUCUAUUUGGAGCACUGGACCAAGAGCACAUGGAGGGAGCUCUUCUCCACCGUGCCGGCGACAGGAACAAGGAAAAUCCAGUCCAUGGUGCCACCAAUGAACAAGGUUGGUUUGCACAAGGUGCUGCAGUUUUCAAGAUAUAUCAUGUGCUCAAAUGUUUGAAGGCUUAUGUUGUGUACCGAAAGAAUCCUCAAAAAAAUUAGAAGGUG